GCAGUCGACGACUUUCCUUUUGAUUGAUGCUUGCAUCAUGAUUUAGAUCUAAGUGAGUGGCGGACGGGUGAGUAACACGUGGGUAACCUGCCCAGAAGUGGGGGAUAACAUUUGGAAACAAGUGCUAAUACCGCAUAACAACAUUAAACACAUGUUUUUUGUUUAAAAGAUGGUUUUGCUAUCUCUUCUGGAUGGACCCGCGGCGUAUUAGCUAGUUGGUGAGGUAAUAGCUCACCAAGGCGAUGAUACGUAGCCGACCUGAGAGGGUAAUCGGCCACAUUGGGACUGAGACACGGCCCAAACUCCUACGGGAGGCAGCAGUAGGGAAUCUUCCACAAUGGACGAAAGUCUGAUGGAGCAAUGCCGCGUGAGUGAAGAAGGUUUUCGGAUCGUAAAACUCUGUUGUUGAAGAAGAACAUAUGUGAGAGUAACUGUUCACGUACUGACGGUAUUCAACCAGAAAGCCACGGCUAACUACGUGCCAGCAGCCGCGGUAAUACGUAGGUGGCAAGCGUUGUCCGGAUUUAUUGGGCGUAAAGAGAAUGUAGGCGGUUCAUUAAGUUUGAAGUGAAAGCCCUCGGCUCAACCGAGGAAGUGCUUCGAAAACUGGUGAACUUGAGUGCAGAAGAGGAAAGUGGAACUCCAUGUGUAGCGGUGGAAUGCGUAGAUAUAUGGAAGAACACCAGUGGCGAAAGCGGCUUUCUGGUCUGUAACUGACGCUGAGAUUCGAAAGCAUGGUAGCAACAGAUUAGAUACCCUGGUAGUCAUGCGUAACGAUGAGUGCUAGUGCUGAGGUUUCGGCGUCAAUGCUGCAGCUACGCAAUAGGCACUUCGGCUGGGGAGUACGAUCG
rnacentral:rRNA from 2 species